ensembl:lncRNA
GGUUCUCCCUAGAGCAUGAAGUUGUGGCUGUAACUGGCUUGUGUUUAUGAUUACAUCUGCAAUACUAAAGAGGAAAUAGAUGCUCUGCGAAAUGGAACUCGGCAAUAUUUCCUUUUGAGAUCUUGGGGGCCGGCCGCAUCGGGACUUUAAUGAAUGACUUGGAAUCUUCUAACCUCCAGAUUUUUGAUCCCCGCCUCUCCCAGGUUUCAGAAUUCCCAGACUACGGUAGCAGCCAGUGCUUUGUACCUAGUUUCUUGCUGUGAAGAUGUAUGUGAUGGAGACUGAUACUGAGCACAGAAAUGAUGGGAGUGGGAAAUGGUUUAGGAGAAGGUAAGGCUGAGAAAACCGUUCUGUAAUGCAUCAAGAUCAGGCAUGAGACCAACUCACUAAGCACAGUCCACUAAUCGCAGAUGUCUUUGGCCAUCAUUCAUUUCUUCUUGCUGUAUCCUUAAUGUGGGGUUUUCAGCCCUUCUUGGCUGGGAGAAAUCUCAUUUUGCAAAUCUUGGCUCCAAUGUCUUCUCCAUCUUUUCUGUGAGGGCUUCCCAUGUCACAGUGGUAACAAAAAAAUUCUCUUUUUGCUUCCGUGUCGUGGAACUUUGCUUACCUCAACUUACUGAUUUUCAUAUUGUUUAAUGUUUUAGUUAAUUAGUUGGAUACCUUUCUCUCUUAAGAUUUUACAAACUCUUUAGAUCUAGACUGUCAUCUCUAUAGCCCAUAACAUCUAGUUUAGGGAUGCAUUUGCCUGUAAGCAACAGAAAUCUGCCUUAAGGUAACUUUACCAGAGAGUUUGCUUCCCUUACAUCAUAAGAAGCUUUGGUUAGGAGGCAGCUGAAGUCAUUGGUUCAGCAGCUCAGCAAUGCCUAGACUAAAUCUCCAAAAUUGUCUUGGCAUUGCCGUCUUGGUCACAAGGUGGUAGCUGCUCAGCCAGCCUUUCUCUGCAUUCCAGGCAGAUAGGAAUAGGGUUCUGAAGAGACAAGCAGCAUUCCUUUAUAUCUCAUAGGUCAGAACUGAGUCACCUGGCAAUUCCUAUCUGUAGCAAAGGUAGGGGUGUUGAUUUUUUUUUUUUUUUUUUUUUUUUUUUUUUUGCAGACACUGUAGUAGUAAAUGGAAAAGGAAAGGAGAUUGGAUUGGAUUUUGAAUCUGCCAUCCGCCAAAGGCUAACAGCAUGCUGAGUGCUUAUGCUUGUGGAAGGACUUGACCAUUCAGCUGUGUUCAAGCAGAAACUCUUCAUCACAAGGUCUUCUGGUGCAGGAGGAACAAAGACUAACACUUUAGAAAGACACUUGCUUUAGUGUGACAUAAAACCAUAAAUUAAGCUUUAAUUUGGCAACUGCUUUUCAAAGAAGAGCUUCAUAAAUCAUCACGCAUCCUUAUCAUCUUGUGCUUUAAUUUUUAAUGGCACACAUAAUGAAAUCAACAAAACAAAUGUGGUAAGAGAAGGCACAGAAAUCAGAUGAGAAUAUGGGAAAAAAGGAAGGCACUCAUGAGCGAUCCAUGUAUACUGUGCAGGAAGGUAGCGGGGAGGGAGGGAGGGAGGACUUGGAAGGCAGAAAGAAACUAAAAACCUCCUGAUGUGAGCAGUGGAAUCACAUGCAUUUUGAUAAAAGGGUCACAUGUUAAAAUGUGAUUUUAAGAUUAAUCUGCUAGAACAAUGCAAUAUUAUUGUUUCUUUUCCAGACCACCUGAAAACUCAGAUCAAAUGGAGUAAUGAUUUGAAAUUUAGUUGACCUUUCCUUUUGGUCUUAACACUUUCCCAAAUAGUCUUGUAUAAAGUUCAUAAACUUUUCUUUUUGAAUUUGUGCUUGUACUUUUUUUUUUCUUUCCCAAAUAUUCAUAUUGAGAUUUUUACCCUGCAACCACGGGGUUAAGCAGAACACAUUAUUUUAUUUUCUUCUUCAGUGAGUGUGUCAAUUUGAACAAGACUGGCCAAAUUGCUUUCUUUCUUUCUUUUUUCUCCUAAAUCAAACUGUCUGUUCUGAAGAGGAGCACGUUGUGUUUCUAUUAAACAAAAUAACACGUUCUGCUCCGAUAUUUAACAGGGCGAAGCUCAGCCUCACCGUCUCUCUGCUUCACUGACAAGAGAGCUUACUGAGGAACAUUUUUCCCCCUUUGAGAGGUCUCGAGAGGGUCUGUCACAUUUUUUUUUUUCUUUUUUUGUUCCCAGCGAUUUCUGUUGCUGCAAUGGGGCUUGGCUGUGAUAAAUGACAUAAGCUUGUUGUACCUUACAUGCAAAUUCAGAGAAAGAAAAAUGGGAAGUAGAAAGAGGAUAUUUCACUUUCCUUAUCUAAAAUAAUCAGCUUUACUUAAUUGAUUUGUGGGCCUUUUCUCAUGAAACAGUAAACCUAUUAGAAGAGAGACAAGAUAAUAAAUUAUGGAAAGAUCUUUGCAAAGGCUUGUCAUUGGUUGGUAAUGGUGACCGUAAGGACACAGGAUUGAUCACAUCAGGCUGGCUCUUGAUCCAUCUAGUCCAGUAGCCUGUCAUUGGCACUUGCACCAGGAGACGUGAUUGGUCUUCACGAUGUUUCCAUUAAAAGUUG